AAAGAGCUUGGAGCUCACA
rnacentral:snRNA from 1 species